UUAGGUGGUUAUAGCAUAGGGGUUCCACCUCUUCCCAUUCCGAACAGAGAAGUUAAGCCCUAUAGCGCCGAUGGUACUGCGAAAGCGGAAGAGUAGGUCGCCGCCCAUU
rnacentral:rRNA from 1 species